CCCAGUAUGGUGUAAUGGUUAGAAUGCUGGACUGGGACCUGGGAGACUGGGGUUCAAAUCCCCAUUCAUUGGACGGA